AUACGUAGGGGGCGAGCGUUGUCCGGAAUGAUUGGGCGUAAAGGGCGCGUAGGCGGCCCGGUAAGUCUGGAGUGAAAGUCCUGUUUUUAAGAUGGGAAUUGCUUUGGAUACUGUCGGGCUUGAGUGCAGGAGAGGUAAGUGGAAUUCCCAGUGUAGCGGUGAAAUGCGUAGAGAUUGGGAGGAACACCAGUGGCGAAGGCGACUUACUGGACUGUAACUGACGCUGAGGCGCGAAAGUGUGGGGAGCAAACAGGAUUAGAUACCCUGGUAGUCCACACUGUAAACGAGGAAUGCUAGGUGUAGGGGGUAUCGACCCCUUCUGUGCCGCAGUCAACACAAUAAGCAUUCCGCCUGGGGAGUACGGCCGCAAGGUUGAAACUCAAAUGAAUUGACGGGG
rnacentral:rRNA from 1 species